CAGUAGCCACGGUAAUACGUAGGGUGCGAGCGUUAAUCGGAAUUACUGGGCGUAAAGCGUGCGCAGGCGGUUCGUUAAGACAGAUGUGAAAUCCCCGGGCUUAACCUGGGAACUGCAUUUGUGACUGGCGAGCUAGAGUAUGGCAGAGGGGGGUAGAAUUCCACGUGUAGCAGUGAAAUGCGUAGAGAUGUGGAGGAAUACCGAUGGCGAAGGCAGUCCCCUGGGCCAAUACUGACGCUCAUGCACGAAAGCGUGGGGAGCAAACAGGAUUAGAUACCCCCGUAGUCUCUGUCUCUUAUAC
rnacentral:rRNA from 1 species